UUACGACCAUAUCACAUUGAAAUACCGGUCCCGUACGAUCAUCGAGGUUAAGCAACGUCGAGCCUGAUCAGUACCUUGAUGGGUGAUAGCUUAGGAUUACUAAAUGCUGUAAG